rnacentral:rRNA from 1 species
GUCUGCAGCCGUACCACCUGAAAUGUGUCUGAGCUCAUCUCAUCUCAGAAGUUAAGCAGGGUCGGGCCUGGGUAGUGCUUGGAUGGGAGAUGGGGAAAGGUUUUGAUGAGA